GUCCAGACUCCUACGGGAGGCAGCAGUGGGGAAUCUUCCGCAAUGGGCGAAAGCCUGACGGAGCAACGCCGCGUGAUCGAAUGAAGGCCUUCGGGUUGUAAACUUCUUUUAUGAGGGACGAAAGAGAUGACGGUACCUCAUGAAUAAGCCACGGCUAACUACGUGCCAGCAGCCGCGGUAAUACGUAGGUGGCAAGCGUUAUCCGGAUUUACUGGGUGUAAAGGGCGUGUAGGCGGGACUGCAAGUCAGAUGUGAAAAUUAUGGGCUCAACCCAUAACCUGCAUUUGAAACUGUAGUUCUUGAGUGAUGGAGAGGCAGGCGGAAUUCCGUGUGUAGCGGUGAAAUGCGUAGAUAUACGGAGGAACACCAGUGGCGAAGGCGGCCUGCUGGACAUUAACUGACGCUGAGGCGCGAAAGCGUGGGGAGCAAACAGGAUUAGAUACCCGUGUA
rnacentral:rRNA from 1 species